CAUGCAGUCGGACGGUAGCACAGAGGAGCUUGCUCCUCGGGUGACGAGUGGCGGACGGGUGAGUAAUGUCUGGGGAUCUGCCCGAUAGAGGGGGAUAACCACUGGAAACGGUGGCUAAUACCGCAUAACGUCGCAAGACCAAAGAGGGGGACCUUCGGGCCUCUCACUAUCGGAUGAACCCAGAUGGGAUUAGCUAGUAGGCGGGGUAACGGCCCACCUAGGCGACGAUCCCUAGCUGGUCUGAGAGGAUGACCAGCCACACUGGAACUGAGACACGGUCCAGACUCCUACGGGAGGCAGCAGUGGGGAAUAUUGCACAAUGGGCGCAAGCCUGAUGCAGCCAUGCCGCGUGUAUGAAGAAGGCCUUCGGGUUGUAAAGUACUUUCAGCGGGGAGGAAGGCGAUGUGGUUAAUAACCUUGUUGAUUGACGUUACCC
rnacentral:rRNA from 1 species